rnacentral:rRNA from 1 species
ACCGGCCGAAUUUAAGCAUAUUAAUAAGCCGAGGAAAAGAAACUAACAAGGAUUCCCCUAGUAACGGCGAGUGAAGCGGGAAGAGCUCAAGUUGAGAAGCGUUGUCACUUGUGGCAUCGCGUUGUAAACUGAUGAGCGUGGGUCAGUGGUGGACCUGGGGGCAGGUUGUUUGGAACAACGCGUUAUAAAGGGUGAGAACCCCGUACAUACCCCGGAGAUCCCCACGUACGACUACGUUUCGAUGAGUCGUGUUGUUUGGGAUUGCAGCACUAAUUGGGAGGUAAGCUUCUUCCAAAGCUAAAUAUUAGCCGGAGACCGAUAGCGAACAAGUACCGCGAGGGAAAGAUGAAAAGGACUUUGAAAAGAGAGUCAAAGAGUGCUUGAAAUUGUCGGGAGGGAAGCGGAUGGG